rnacentral:rRNA from 1 species
UAGGGCCUACGGGGGGCAGCAGUGGGGAAUAUUGGGCAAUGGGCGCAAGCCUGACCCAGCAACGCCGCGUGAAGGAAGAAGGCUUUCGGGUUGUAAACCUCUUUUGACAGGGAAGAGUAGAAGACGGUACCUGUCGAAUAAGCCACGGCUAACUACGUGCCAGCAGCCGCGGUAAUACGUAGGGGGCAAGCGUUAUCCGGAUUUACUGGGUGUAAAGGGAGCGUAGACGGAAAGGCAAGUCAGAAGUGAAAACCCAAGGCUCAACCAUGGGACUGCUUUUGAAACUGUCAAACUAGAGUACGGGG